rnacentral:rRNA from 1 species
CUUACCUGCCCAGUGAUUUCUUUAAACGGCCGCGGUAUCCUAACCGUGCAAAGGUAGCAUAAUCAUUUGUUCCUUAAAUGGGGACUAGAAUGAACGGUUAAAUGAGGACUAAACUGUCUCUUAUACUAAACCAAUAAACUUGAUCUUUCAGUCCAAAAGCUGAAAUAAAAACAUAAGACGAGAAGACCCUGUGGAGCUUUUAAACCAACCUACAAAUCCCAUGUAUCCUAAGGUUUUUAGUUGGGGCGACUUUGGAGCACGAAAACCCUCCAACCACGGAAUCUUAUUUAUAGACACACACGUCAAUAAACCACAUCCCGACCCAGUAAUUCAACCAAAUUAUCUGAUCUAUGAACCAAGUUACCCCAGGGAUAACAGCGCUAUCUUCUUCUAGAGUUCCUAUCGACAAGAAGGUUUACGACCUCGAUGUUGGAUCAGGACACCCCUAUAGUGCAACCGCUAUAAAAGGUUCGUUUGUUCAACGAUUAAAGUCCUACGUGAU